AAAAACAAUAGAUGUUAUGAAUAUUUCUCAUACUCUUUCUCGAUUUACGUGCACAUGGAUUAAUAAAUAUCUAUAAUAAUUGUUUCGAGAACCUAAACACCCACGGAAGAUAUCAAUUUGGGCCAGAAAAAGAACUCCACCAGUGAAAAACAGCAUCGAUCUCAAAAAUGGGCGUAACAAUAUCAGGAGGAUUUUAGAAAUGAGAGAGACACUUUGACGAUUACGAAUAGAAGAAAUUACAACAAUACCAGGAAAUAGUAGAAAAACCAACGUAAAGAUACAAAAUCAAACGGAUAUCAUCGAUCAAAAGGCGCAGAGAUUGCUAAAAGAGAUUGCAACGAUAAAUGAAGGUAUUGGAGAAGAAAAUUCUAUCGACGAAAGAGAUAGAAAGAAAGAAAGAACGUGAAAAGGAGAGGGGCGAAUUGCACGAUGUCUUGACUCGGAAACGAUCUGCAAAUUCCUAAGAUAUUUUGGGGUUUAUAGGGGCGUAUGCCAGAAAUCCAAGGACGACUUAAGGUACAAUGGAAUUGAACUAUAAAGUUUUCAACGCGAAAGUACGAUAGUACCAUCUACGUAUACAUGUUACACAUCGAUAUCAUGUUAUGCGUGUAACUGAAUGUCGCUUGCAUCCACCCAUCACCUUCUGCCAUUACAAUUAUAUUAACUUUCCAUGAAUAUCAUCGCAAUAAAUCAAGAAUCUAUUUAAUGCA